ACGGAAGGCAGCAGUGAGGAAUAUUGGUCAAUGGGCGGAAGCCUGAACCAGCCAAGUCGCGUGAAGGAAGAAGGUAUUAUGUAUUGUAAACUUCUUUAGCUGUGGAGCAAUAAUCGCUAUGUAUAGUGAGAUGAGAGUACACAGAGAAUAAGGAUCGGCUAACUCCGUGCCAGCAGCCGCGGUAAUACGGAGGAUCCGAGCGUUAUCCGGAUUUAUUGGGUUUAAAGGGUGCGCAGGCGGCGUUUUAAGUCAGUGGUAAAAUCGUGGGGCUCAACCCCAUCCUGCCAUUGAUACUGGAGCGCUUGAUUGCGGUCAAGGUUUGCGGAAUUCGCCGUGUAGCGGUGAAAUGCAUAGAUAUGGCGAAGAACUCCGAUUGCGUAGGCAGCUGACCAAGCCGAUAAUGACGCUCAUGCACGAAAGUGCGGGGAUCGAACAGGAUUAGAUACCCUGGUA
rnacentral:rRNA from 1 species